UAAAUACAUGUAUUAAUGUCUUACUAAAUGUCAGAAAGAUAUACAGAGCUAAAAGCUUUGUAAAAUAUGUGAGAUAAUAUAUAAACAUCACCAGUAUAUAAAAAAUACUCAAUGCAAAACAAAUAGAGAUAAAAUAUAUGAAGAAAACAAAUGAAUGACCUAUCAAAUAUGUAAACAUAUUCCAAAUCAAACACUCAUGAAAAUUAAUGCAACAUUAUAACUUUUUUUUAUUCAUUACAUUGACAACACUGAACGACCUAAUACCCAGUAUUGUCUAGGCCAUAGAAAAAUUCACACUCUUUGAAGUUAUCGUGGAAUUGUAGAUUGUUAAAGCUUCUCCUGGAAAAGGGAUAAUUUAGCAUUACUCAUUAAAAUUAAUGUCAGAUUUGUUCUUUGCCCCCAAAUUUAUACUUCUAGCAUGUUAUUCUAUAAUGAUUCUUAAACGUGUAAAAACAUGAACUUCCGUGUGUGAAUCAAAGUAUUAUUCACUGAUAGCAAAACACAGCAAGAACCUAAGUAAUCUUUAAGCAGAAAAUUAUAUAAUAAAUUUGUGUGUGUGCAUGCAAAUGUGUAGAAAUGGAACUAGCAGAAAUGACCUCUGAAAAAUGAAUAAUUCAUUGAUAGAAGGGGAAAAAAGAAACAGCAUAACCAAUUUGAGAAAGAGAAUGUUUCUCUUUCCAGUGUCAUUGAUCAAUUUCAAGACCCCGUCUUUUCUCAUGGGCCUUUAGACUGGGUGGGGGCAUGUGUCCCAGAAAUUGAGAUUCAUGGAUCAGAUGCAGCUUGUUCAUCUUGUUCGCUGGUACAGGAAAUGAUGCGGAGCUCUUCCAAUGGAUUCAGAAAGAGUCACAAGUGGAGAUUAAAUUUAAGUGGAUUUUAGCUGUCCCUUUAUUCCGGUUUCCAACAAGUUCCUCAUCUCCAUCUGAGACCACUUCCACCUGGAUUUCAUUGUCCAUAUCAUUGUCAGCAUUUAGGUCAAAGCCGUUCAACAAGUCUCUAGGAAGUUCCAAAAUUUCUCACAUCUUCCUGUCUUCUUCUGAGCCCGAUCCCUUCAAACUGUUUCAGCUUCUGCCUGUUACCCAGUUCCAAAGUUGCUCCCACGUUUUAGGGUAUCUUUAUAGCAGUGCCCCACUACCUCAGUACCAAUUUACUAUAUUAGUUCGUUUUCAUGCUGCUGAUAAAGAUAUACCUGAGACUGGGUAAUUUACAAAGAAAAAGAUUCAGUGGACUCACAGUUCCACGUGGUUUGGAAGGCCUCACAAUUAUGGCAGAAGGUGAAAGGCACAUCUCACAUGGCAACAGGCAAAGAGGGAAUGAGAGCC
rnacentral:lncRNA from 10 species